rnacentral:rRNA from 1 species
UACGAAGGGGGCUAGCGUUGCUCGGAAUCACUGGGCGUAAAGCGCACGUAGGCGGAUUGCUAAGUCAGGGGUGAAAUCCUGGAGCUCAACUCCAGAACUGCCUUUGAUACUGGCGAUCUCGAGUCCGGGAGAGGUGAGUGGAACUGCGAGUGUAGAGGUGAAAUUCGUAGAUAUUCGCAAGAACACCAGUGGCGAAGGCGGCUCACUGGCCCGGUACUGACGCUGAGGUGCGAAAGCGUUGGGGAGCAAACAGG